AACGAACGCUGGCGGCAUGCCUAACACAUGCAAGUCGAACGAUGCCUUCGGGCAUAGUGGCGCACGGGUGCGUAACGCGUGGGAAUCUGCCCUUGGGUUCGGAAUAACUCAGAGAAAUUUGAGCUAAUACCGGAUGAUGACGUAAGUCCAAAGAUUUAUCGCCCAAGGAUGAGCCCGCGUAAGAUUAGCUAGUUGGUGGGGUAAAGGCCUACCAAGGCGACGAUCUUUAGCUGGUCUGAGAGGAUGAUCAGCCACACUGGGACUGAGACACGGCCCAGACUCCUACGGGAGGCAGCAGUGGGGAAUAUUGGACAAUGGGCGAAAGCCUGUUCAAGCAAUGCCGCGUGAGUGAUGAAGGCCUUAUGGUUGUAAAGCUCUUUUACCAGGGAUGAUAAUGACAGUACCUGGAGAAUAAGCUCCGGCUAACUCCGUGCCAGCAGCCGCCGUAAGAC
rnacentral:rRNA from 1 species